UCUUAAAGUAUGUGUCGAAAAUGAUGAGACUUUGGUUCAGAAGCAUUAGUCACCCUGCUGACAUGCCUGUCUUGUCUGCCUGUCUGUCUCUAGCUUAUAAAUACACCACAACAUCACUGUCAGUACACAGUGGGCGGGAGAGACAGGAAGAGAGGAAGAUGUCACAGGUGAAGGAAAUAAUGACGCAAAGGAUGGGUAGAGAAGAAAGAGACACACCUUAAAGAAUAAUAGUUGAAGGGGGGGGGGGGUCGAAGUUGUAGACAACAAAUACUUGGCAUUUGGUGUGGUCUCUACAGUGCAAAAGGUAAGACUAGAUUAUUUUAUGUGUUGGUAGUUUUCAACACAGGUUUCUACAUUGAUAUAUUUUGAACUGAAAUGAGGCUCAAAGCUAGAAGUUAGUGCAGUCACUAUCAAAUUGUGAUAAACUUACAGAUUUUUAACAUGUUGUAGCCUUGUAACAUCUUUUGGCAUUAUUUGUUGUGUGUACUUUUUAAUACCUAUUUAGAAAUGUUACUGAAUGAACUCAAAUGACAAAUUGUUCAUGAUUUAACAUUGUUUACAGAAUGGUGAUGGAACAGUUAUUUGUGGCUGUGCUAAUGAUGUCUGCACACCUAGCAGUCUCAUAUCCUCUGGUAACCAUUUUGCCCCUUUUAUGUCCGUUCUUAGUAUUUGUUAUGACCGCCUAUGAAAGCUGUUAGAACCAUUUGACAUUAUGACAGUCGACAACAUUAUGACAGUCGACCUCAUGAGACUGUGUGCUCGUGUUGUGUGUCGUCAGACUACAGAGAGCUAUUACAUGGAUGGAGGGAGACAAUGCAGACUGUGUCCACCAGGUCAUUAUCAGAAGUCCUGUUCAGAGUGCUCUCCCUGUCGAGAUGGUUCCUACACAACACGAUUGAAUGCUGAGUCCAGUUGUCAUUCCUGCUUUAAAGACUGCAAACAUGAUUUGCACCUGGUGGAGGAUGAGCCGUGUACUCCUGUAUCGGACGCUAGAUGUCGCUGUGAGGCUGGUUUUACCUGCACCGACAAAGACGACCAGACAGGAAACUGUAGAGACUGUGAGAAGAUCCCUCAGCUGCCCCCACCUCCCCUGCCACCUAGCAAUGUAGUGGGCAUCAGAAACAACCAGACAGGAACUUCCUCUGAACACAGCAGGACUUCCUCUUCCGCUGGACGCUGUCAACCUCCCAACUGUGACACUCCACGAUCACCAGUCUCACAAACAGGCAACGCCACUCAUCACACCACAGCUGACACCAGCAAACACUUGGCAGCCAUUUUGUGUCCUAUGGUGGUCAUUGGAAUCCUAGCCYUUAUCAUUCUGUUAUGUAUCCGUCGCCCAGGAAAUGAAGCCUGUUUCAAACAAGCUCUCAAGUUCUGUAACAAGGGAGUAAGAGAAACGUUGCCUAACAAGACCAAAGAGCCACCUCAUCAGCACAAUGCCAGAGAGGCACAGCCCAGUAUUAAGCACCAGACAGUGGAUCCACCACCUAUUACAGCAGCAAAUAUGGGUACUAUGGAUACGUACAAAUAAUUAUUUUGACCCCAAGAUCUUGAUUUAAAAAGGAAUCUAAAUAUGGUGGAGUUACUCUUGUGGUUUUUCCUAUAGAUGCACGUCAGUCAUUUAACUUGGAGUUUUGCAUAGAUGAUGUUUUGAAGUCCAUGGGGGAUUAGCAUGGGAAGUUGAUUCAUUUCAAGAUCCAUAGUGAAUAAGGCUGAUGAUGAAUAUUAGAAUCUAAUAUCACUUUCUCUCUGUCUGUGUCUCUCUCAGGCCCGGUCCAUGUCCACAAUGCUGGAACAGUCAUCUUCAGUUUACUCAACCAGUUCACUGGUAUGGGUGGAGGGAUGGAAGYGAGAGGGCAGAAAGAGAGGGAUGAGGAAGGAUGUCCGACCCACCCCACACCCUCCCCUAACAUCCAUCUAUCCCAGGAGGAAAGGGAUGGGGAGAUGGACUGUGUAUUCUUCCCUUCACAGGAACAAGGGAAGGACAGUCACAUUUCCAAAGAGGAGGUGCAUUGAGGGGAGGGGGAUUGAGGACAGAGGACGCACCAAGUGAAAGCUUCCCUUCUAGGAUCAGUUUAGCCAACCCUACAUCCUAAUGUUAAUCAUAAGGAGGAUUAAGACUUACCUUGGAUCAGUGGUAAGGGACAACAUCUACCUGGGGCUCUAUUCAGUCUGUAUCACUACAAAUUGCGUGAUAGGAACAGAGGUCAUUUCUGAAUGAGCCAACAUAUGCAGUGUUUAAUGUGAAAGCAGUCUCUUCUGACACAGGAACAUUGUCUUUACAUUUCUAUCAGGCUGUAAAGCUGCACUUCCACAAUACAGAUUGAAUAGAGCCCUUUUAUUUAACUAGACAGGUCAGUUAAGAACAAGUUCUUAUUUUCAAUGACUGCCUAGGAACAGUGGGUUAACUGCCUUGUUCAGGGCAGAACAACAGACUUUUACCUUGUCAGCUCAGGGAUUCGACCUUUUGGUUACUAGUCCAAUGCUCUAACCACUAGGCCACCUGCCACUCUUACUCUCAGAACAUCAGUGAAUCCCAGAACUCUAGAAUGGCCAUUAUUUCCUGUUCUAGACUUAGAUAGAGCUAGGCAUCUCACUAUGGUGGUCAUGUACACAUCCACUUGCUCUCAUUUUAUUGAACUGUAUAAAAAGCUUUGUCUCAACUGCUGCAAACUGUUUUUUUUCUGUGUUCAUGUGGCACCUUGAACUGUUUUUUUCACAAAUUAAAAGCAAAAUACGAAAUAUAAUUUUUCAAUGAAUACAGGUGAUGGGGCGAUUGUAUGACA
ensembl:lncRNA